UGUCUCUUCGGUCAAUGAUUCUUUGGCCAAAUUUGAACUGCUUUACAUUCUCAUGUAAACAAGUAUUAUAUCACAAUAAUAUUUGUUUCACACCUCUUAAUGGGAAAGAGGAGUCAACUGAAGAUUGCAGCAAAAUAUGUAUUAUUGCUCCCAUCUAUCACAUGCACUUAUGUUAGCUUUUCAACAGCUUUAACACUGCCAGUGAUGACGUUCAAAGUAAUCCAACAUAUAGAAUAAACCAACAGACCACUUCAACUACCAUAACAUUCUGAGUAACAGUUACAGAUGUAUUUUUUCUUAUUGCAGUAAAGACGUCCAUGACUUUGAUAUGUUGUUGUUUGUCUACCUUAGUUGAAUGCACUGACUGUAAGUCACUCUGGAUAAGAGCGUCUGCUGAAUGAUCAAAAUGUAAAUGUAAAACAAAUACUUGCAAAGCAUGCUGGGUAUUAUUCUAAUGAGGUCCUCUGCCCCCAAACAAGUACACAUUUGGUCGGUGGGGACCAGAACCAAAUUUGAACCAAUCAUAGACGUCUAGUCUAUGUUUCAAAAGUUUGAACAUCACAGUACAGUACGGCACAGUUUAGUACAGCAGAGCACAGCAGUACAAUACAGUGCAGUACAAUACGGUAUGGUAUGGUACGGUACAAGACAGUAGUGUUAUUCAGUAGAGUACAUUACAUUAUGGUACAGUACAGUAGAAUUGAAUUCAUUAGAGUAGAGUACAAUAGAGUACAGUGAAGUACAGUACAGUAUAGUUGAAUUCUGUGGAGUACAGUACAGUUUAGUUCAGUAGAGUACAUUAGACUAAAGUAGGGUACAACACAGUACACUAUACGUUGCUUAUAUUUACUUAACCGUCGUCUGUACAGUACAGUUUAGUUCAGUAGAGUACAUUAGACUAAAGUAGGGUACAACACAGUACACUAUACGUUGCUUUUAUUUACUUUACCAUAGUCUAGUGUGCUCUACUGUAUUGUGCUGUACUCUACUUUACUGUACUGUACUAUACUAUACUUUUUUUUACACUACUGUGUACUCUAAUGUACUUUACUCUGCUGUGCUCUACUGUACUGAGCUGUCCAAACUUCUGAAACACCAAAUCUGAACCAAUUAUAGAUGUUUGGGCUAAAUCAAGGCUGGACUGGACUGGACCAAAUCUCAGCGUCUAUGUUUGGGCCAAAUAUAGGCCGGUCUGGACCGGACGUCGGUGGACGUCUAGGAUUGGUUUAGAUUUGGUCCAGACCAGACCAAAAAUCAACGUCAGUGGACGCUGAAAUCAAGAACACUCCUGACCGCAAAAACAAGACGUCCUAAAAACGUAGCCUGACGUCAAAUGCUUAGUGGGUGGUUCAUACUCCUCCAACCCAGCACAUUUAUGAAAUCAUGUAGUGGUUAACCAAGACGUGUUUUUAAAGAAGAUGACUGAUGUUUAGAGUAUACUAUAAACUGAACUAGCUCUGAGAAUAUUUUCCCAAUGAAAGGUUUACUAGUUCCACUGGUGUUGCUGCUCUGUCAGUUAGGAGCACCUGAGAGCUUUCUAAGUGAAGACGCAUCCUCGGGCAAAAAGACAGCACUCCAACCUGACAUCUGGUCUGAGCUGAGAGAUCUGAGAGACAUGGUGGUGCUGCAGAGAGCAGAGCUGAGCCGCACCAUGGCUGAACUACGAGAUACUAAGAACCAGAUGGAGGGGCUAAAAACAGAGAUCUCAGUCAUGGAGUCCAGGCUGAUGAGUUCUGAAGGACAACUUGAGGCAAUGAAGACAGACAUGCAGCCAUAGUGAGCAGAGUAACAUCCGCUGAGAGUGAGGUUGAGAGACUACAGAAGGAGAAUGCAGAGAGACCUAAGGUCGCAUUUUCAACCUCUUUUGGAAAAACUGGACAGCAUGGGCCAUUCCACACUGCCACCACCGUGGUCUUCCAGAAUAUAUUCUCAAACACUGGCAACCACUACAACCAAGCUACAGGUGUCUUCACAGCACCGGUGAGAGGGGCCUACUACUUCGGCUUCACUAUUGGUGCAUAUCUCCAUUCCACUGUUAUGGGCCUAACACUGUUCAAGAAUGAACAACAGAUAAUUCAUACAGGGGAGUGGGGUAACCAUGGGCAGUUUAGGUAUGCAUCCAAUACCGUCAUACUACAGCUGGAGGAGGGAGAUGUCGUUUUUAUGCAACUCCCUGCAAACUACAGGAUGUUUGAUGAUUUACAUAUAAAUAUAUAUACACACACACACACACACACACACACACACACACACACACACACACACACACACACACACACACACACACACACACACACACACACACACACACACACACACACUUUUCAACAACACAUGCUGCAAUAUUCACUUUGACCAGUUGGGGGUAGUAGAUUCCCACAGUUCGUUGUGUGUUCUUUGAUCAUAGGGGAUGGAUUCAGUCAACACAGACCUAUUAUGUGAAUGGUUUGAUGGAUGAAAAUGAUCCAACCAUUUCAGGUUAUAUGUAUUUGGGGUAUUUUUAGCCAAGUGAAGUUAAAUAGAAUCAUAUAGAAUGUUUUUAAACGUUACAGUUAGAAAAUAUUUACAAGUACAAUAAACAAUGUACUGUAAUAUUGGCCUACCCAGUCUGGUUUAAUGCAUGUUUUAGACUUUUUAAAUAACUAUUUUAUUUUAGAAAUAAGGUAUUACGUAUAGGCCUAUACUUCACCAUGUUAACACAUAUACAGUACCAGUCAAAAGUUUGGACACACCUACUCAUUCAAGGGUUUUUCUUUAU